CACCGCGCGGCCGGGAUGGGGCGGCCCCGAGGAGCUCCGCGCUGCCGGGAGAGCGGCGGGGUUCUUACCCGGAGAAUGGGUGGUACAGAGCGCGGGACUCAGGUGCCGUGCCCGGGGUGACCGUGCUGAGGGAUGUAAGGAUGGAGCGCAGCGCUGCCGAAAAGGACCUGGGAGUGCUGGCGGACAGGAGCCAGCAAUGUGCCCUCGCAGCCCAGAAGGCAAACCGUAUCCUGGGCUGCGUCAAAAGCAGCGCGGCCAGCAAGGUGGUUACGCUGAAUUGUGCUGACUGCAAAGCAGAGAGAUGCUGUGUUCCUGAGAUGACUCUCCGGUCCCAAAGGAAGGUUUUUGACUCCUGAAAUGAGCUGUGGGUGCUGCAGGGUGAGCACAGGCAGAGCUCCAGUUCCUCUCCGGCUGAAAUCCACUGCAGUGUGUGGCACAGAUUGCCACUUCCCCCCCCCUCCCCCCCCCCCCCCCCCCCCCCCCCCCCCCCCCCCAGUUCCUGUUGCACUUCUCAGCAGCUCCUGUUGCCCUCUUCCUGUUCAUCCCCAGCCUGUGUCUGAUCUCCCCUCUUUUUUUUCUGCAAGCCUUCUCUCCAUCCUCAGCCAACCACUUUCUUUCUCCACACUGACCUCUGGAUGGGGAUGUGAAAAGCAGCACCGAGAGGCACAGCUCUGUUUGGUUCUGCCUUCAGAGAUGGGACAUUCAGGGAAUGUAGCUGCUGAGCUGCUGGUGCAAGCCGAGGGGUGCCCUAUGGCAGGGAAGGCUCUGCCAGCAGAGCAGCCGCCUCCCGCUGAGCCGAGGCGUGUUGGCGUGCCGGCAAUGCACUGAGCAGCUCUGUAAUAGCAGCUCCUAUCAAGGUGGUUUAGAUUAGCAUAAUGGACUCAGCAAAUCAGAAAUGUGUGCGGAGUCAGUGAGCACAGCCCCGCUGACAAGCUGUAACUUGAGAACCUGCUCUGUACAGGGGGACAAAUUUGGGCAAAUCUUAGAGGCUCAUCAAAGGCACGGCCUGGGACAAUGGGGCGGUUUCUGCACCACUUCAAGUUCCUGCUCCAAAAGCAAUAGAGGUUCCAGCAACAAAUGUGAGGGGUGGGAUAAUGUUGGGCAAGGAACUUUACUUUCUCUGGUAUAUUGUUUCUGGAAUGGCCAAAUUUUAGAAGAAGCUUUCCAAAAUACUCCAGCCUGGGGCAGGCACCUGGUACGGAAAUCCUCAUCCUGAAUGGCUUCAAACUUGGCAAUAUCUUCUAGUGAUUGAAGAAACUUGUAAUGAGAAGCACUAAGUAAUCAGCUACAUGGGGCACUACUUGUUUUAUCUGCCUCGUAAUUAAGUUUAAGGAAUGAAGUCAUUUCAGGUUGGAUAUUAGGAAAAAUAUCUGCUCAGGAAGAGCGGUGAUGCAUUGGCACAGCUGCCCAGGGAGGUGGGGCAGUCACCGUCCCUGGAGGUGUUUGAGAGCCGUGUGGAUGUGGCACUGAGGGAUGUGGUCAGUGGGCAUGGGGGGGGUGGGUCGCUGGUUGGACUCAAUGACCUCAGUG
rnacentral:lncRNA from 1 species